AGUGAACGCUGGCGGUAGGCCUAACACAUGCAAGUCGAACGCCAGCACAGUAAGAGCUUGCUCUUACGGGUGGCGAGUGGCGGACGGGUGAGGAAUACAUCGGAAUCUACUUUUUCGUGGGGGAUAACGUAGGGAAACUUACGCUAAUACCGCAUACGACCUACGGGUGAAAGCAGGGGAUCUUCGGACCUUGCGCGAUUGAAUGAGCCGAUGUCGGAUUAGCUAGUUGGCGGGGUAAAGGCCCACCAAGGCGACGAUCCGUAGCUGGUCUGAGAGGAUGAUCAGCCACACUGGAACUGAGACACGGUCCAGACUCCUACGGGAGGCAGCAGUGGGGAAUAUUGGACAAUGGGCGCAAGCCUGAUCCAGCCAUACCGCGUGGGUGAAGAAGGCCUUCGGGUUGUAAAGCCCUUUUGUUGGGAAAGAAAAGCAGCAGGUUAAUACCCCGCUGUUCCGACGGUACCCAAAGAAUAAGCACCAGCUAACUUCGUG
rnacentral:rRNA from 1 species